AUUGAACGCUGGCGGCAGGCCUAACACAUGCAAGUCGAGCGGAUGAAGGGAGCUUGCUCCUGGAUUCAGCGGCGGACGGGUGAGUAAUGCCUAGGAAUCUGCCUGGUAGUGGGGGAUAACGUCCGGAAACGGGCGCUAAUACCGCAUACGUCCUGAGGGAGAAAGUGGGGGAUCUUCGGACCUCACGCUAUCAGAUGAGCCUAGGUCGGAUUAGCUAGUUGGUGGGGUAAAGGCCUACCAAGGCGACGAUCCGUAACUGGUCUGAGAGGAUGAUCAGUCACACUGGAACUGAGACACGGUCCAGACUACUAAGGGAGGCAGCAGUGGGGAAUAUUGGACAAUGGGCGAAAGCAUGAUACAGCCAUGCCGAGUGUGUGAAGAAGGUCUUCGGAUUGUAAAGCACUUUAAGUUGGGAGGAAGGGCAGUAAGUUAAUACCUUGCUGUUUUGACGUUAACAACAGAAUAAGCACCGGCUAACUUCGUG
rnacentral:rRNA from 1 species